GAGAAUCUAGAUGUGCAGGAGAUGCUAGGAGAUGAAGAACAAGUAUGACUUACAGAAAUGGAGAAGAGGAUCACUGUGCUCCAGGAUGUGACCAGCAUAUUGUCACUCCUCAACUCAAACAUACCUCUGCUCCUCCUUUACCAACGCAAGACAUCACCUACACAAACAGUUCCAUCCCCUGGUCAGUAGUGCUUCUACAAGCUCCAGUUUCCUUGCUGCUCAGCCCAGACUCUCUCGGGCAUGAACUCCACCCUAUGGGAACUAUGGUAUUGCUCCAUUUCUUCCUGCCCUUCUCAGCCAGAUGUCUUACAGGAACUGUCUGUGCUUGCUCUCUGCACAGCCUCACACAUGGCCCCAUGUUGCUCUAGC
rnacentral:lncRNA from 1 species